rnacentral:rRNA from 1 species
UACGUAGGGCGCAAGCGUUGUCCGGAAUUAUUGGGCGUAAAGAGCUCGUAGGCGGUCUGUUACGUCCGCUGUGAAAACCCAGGGCUUAACCCUGGGCUUGCAGUGGAUACGGGCAGACUAGAGGCAGGUAGGGGAGAAUGGAAUUCCUGGUGUAGCGGUGAAAUGCGCAGAUAUCAGGAGGAACACCGAUGGCGAAGGCAGCUCGCUGGGACGGUACUGACGCUGAGGCGCGAAAGCGUGGGGAGCAAACAGG